rnacentral:rRNA from 1 species
UAGCGACAGGCUUAACACAUGCAAGUCGAGGGGCAGCACAGGUAGCAAUACCGGGUGGCGACCGGCGCACGGGUGAGUAACGCGUAUGCAACUUGCCUAUCAGAGGGGGAUAACCCGGCGAAAGUCGGACUAAUACCGCAUGAAGCAGGGGCCCCGCAUGGGGAUAUUUGCUAAAGAUUCAUCGCUGAUAGAUAGGCAUGCGUUCCAUUAGGCAGUUGGCGGGGUAACGGCCCACCAAACCGACGAUGGAUAGGGGUUCUGAGAGGAAGGUCCCCCACAUUGGUACUGAGACACGGACCAAACUCCUACGGGAGGCAGCAGUGAGGAAUAUUGGUCAAUGGCCGAGAGGCUGAACCAGCCAAGUCGCGUGAGGGAUGAAGGUUCUAUGGAUCGUAAACCUCUUUUAUAAGGAAAUAAAGUGCGGGACGUGUCCCGUUUUGUAUGUACCUUAUGAAUAAGGAUCGGCUAACUCCGUGCCAGCAGCCGCGGUAAUACGGAGGACCCGAGCGUUAUCCGGAUUUAUUGGGUUUAAAGGGUGCGUAGGCGGCCUUUUAAGUCAGCGGUGAAAGUCUGUGGCUCAACCAUAGAAUUGCCGUUGAAACUGGGGGGCUUGAGUAUGUUUGAGGCAGGCGGAAUGCGUGGUGUAGCGGUGAAAUGCAUAGAUAUCACGCAGAACCCCGAUUGCGAAGGCAGCCUGCCAAGCCAUUACUGACGCUGAUGCACGAAAGCGUGGGGAUCAAACAGGAUUAGAUACCCUGGUAGUCCACGCAGUAAACGAUGAUCACUAGCUGUUUGCGAUACACUGUAAGCGGCACAGCGAAAGCGUUAAGUGAUCCACCUGGGGAGUACGCCGGCAACGGUGAAACUCAAAGGAAUUGACGGGGGCCCGCACAAGCGGAGGAACAUGUGGUUUAAUUCGAUGAUACGCGAGGAACCUUACCCGGGUUUGAACGCAUUCGGACCGAGGUGGAAACACCUUUUCUAGCAAUAGCCGUUUGCGAGGUGCUGCAUGGUUGUCGUCAGCUCGUGCCGUGAGGUGUCGGCUUAAGUGCCAUAACGAGCGCAACCCUUGCCACUAGUUACUAACAGGUAAAGCUGAGGACUCUGGUGGGACUGCCAGCGUAAGCUGCGAGGAAGGCGGGGAUGACGUCAAAUCAGCACGGCCCUUACAUCCGGGGCGACACACGUGUUACAAUGGCGUGGACAAAGGGAGGCCACCUGGCGACAGGGAGCGAAUCCCCAAACCACGUCUCAGUUCGGAUCGGAGUCUGCAACCCGACUCCGUGAAGCUGGAUUCGCUAGUAAUCGCGCAUCAGCCAUGGCGCGGUGAAUACGUUCCCGGGCCUUGUACACACCGCCCGUCAAGCCAUGGGAGCCGGGGGUACCUGAAGUCCGUAACCGCGAGGAUCGGCCUAGGGUAAAACUGGUGACUGGG